rnacentral:misc_RNA from 1 species
GUAACGGUGAUGGAAGAAUGUAAUAGAGUUGAAGAUGCAGAGGAGGGUGAGAUCUCAGAUUCGGCUUCAGUUGAAGAAAUCAGUGAGGAUGCGUUCAAUAGACAAGACCCACCUACUACUAGUACUACUUCCAAGAUUAAGAUUGCGAGUAAUGAAAAUCAAAAUCAGAAUUCGACGACUGCGACUAGGGUUUGGACGAUGAGAGAUGUAUAUAAAUAUCCAAUUUCUAGGGAUUAUGCUAGAGGUUU